CAGGACCACAUGUAUUUCUGAUGUGCUGGAAAAAGGCGUUUGAACCAACUGGCGGAUUAUAAAACCCACUAGAAAGUGACGCUCACUUCUGCUUUCCCAGUUGCCUAGCAAAAGGAACAUCAUCACCCUUCAUUUAACCUCGCAGCUCCGUGGUGCAGCAGACAAAUUAGAAUAGCAUCUAUCUUAAAGAUGAGUGUAUCGAGGAAUUAACGCGCAGUUGGGAGGAGUUUACAGCCAAACCUCCUUCAAGGGACGGCGAUUGUAACGUGAGAAGGUUUUACCAAGAAUUCUAUCUGAGGACUAAUAGGCGCUUGCAUCAUUUCUGUCCUAUAUGCUAUAUUAAGGAGCAACUACAUCAUCAGCAAAUAGUUUUGUUGUGCUGAUACUGCGCACAAAGUCAAACGCAAAGGCAUAAGCUGAAAACUGCAAAGAAGGAUUUGGUAUCA